GGUCGCGUGGCCCAAUGGGUAAGCAACCUCACUCUUCAAUAUUACAGAGCAAUAACUAAUAAUUAAUUCAGCAAGGCGUCUGACUACGAAUCAGGAGAUCGUGGGUUCGAGCCCCACCGUGACCU